rnacentral:rRNA from 1 species
UACGUAGGGUGCGAGCGUUGUCCGGAAUUAUUGGGCGUAAAGAGCUUGUAGGCGGUCUGUCGCGUCUGCUGUGAAAAUCCGGGGCUCAACCCCGGACUUGCAGUGGGUACGGGCAGACUAGAGUGUGGUAGGGGAGACUGGAAUUCCUGGUGUAGCGGUGAAAUGCGCAGAUAUCAGGAGGAACACCGAUGGCGAAGGCAGGUCUCUGGGCCACUACUGACGCUGAGAAGCGAAAGCAUGGGGAGCGAUCAGG